GGUCUCCAAAGAAUCUCUGCAGCUGUCACUUCACUUGCCUCUGGUGCUUAGGCAUCUCAGCUUGCAGUAUCAUCAGUAACACAGCUGAGCAAUGAUGGAAAAGGACGUCUGCUGAGUAGAAAACAUACUUCUCUAAGCAAGGGAGGGUGACCAAUGCCAGAAGAUUAGACCAUGCAGGCUGGAAGAAAUGCCUGUCUUAAGGACUUGGACCAAACACAGCACUCACAGAGCUGAGCAGCAGCAGCCAGUCAAGCUCUUUCACCCUGCACUUGCUCUGGACUGACUACAGACAGCACAAAGAUUCUCUGGUUACUUAAAGUGACACACCAUUACACUUCCCUGAAUAUUCCCAGCAAGGGGGCCAAUUAAUGCUAUUUAUGUGGAUAGUUUUGUAAUAUGAAGUCUCUCCAUUGGAACCUAAAUUGAAACUGCUAAUUGUACACAAGUUAUCAAAGAAGCUUCAGCUGGUAACAACUUCUGGCCAUUAGUACUAAUCUAGGCUAUAUUUUAAAUGGCAAUAUAGAGAUAACAGGUUCCAUCUCAUUGUCAAUUUUC